rnacentral:rRNA from 1 species
AACGAACGCUGGCGGCAUGCCUAACACAUGCAAGUCGAACGAGACCUUCGAGUCUAGUGGCGCACGGUUGCGUAACGCGUGGGAACCUGCCCUUAGGUUCGGAAUAACUCUCCGAAAGGGGUGCUAAUACCGGAUAAUGUCUUCGGACCAAAGAUUUAUCGCCUUUGGAUGGGCCCGCGUUGGAUUAGCUAGUUGGUAGGGUAAAAGCCUACCAAGGCGACGAUCCAUAGCUGGUCUGAGAGGAUGAUCAGCCACACUGGGACUGAGACACGGCCCAGACUCCGACGGAAGGCAGCAGUGGGGAAUAUUGGACAAUGGGCGAAAGCCUGAGCCAGCAAUGCCGCGUGAGUGAUGAAGGCCGUAGGGUUGUAAAGCUCUUUUACCCGGGAUGAAAAUGACAGUACCGGGAGAAUAAGCUCCGGCUAACUCCGU